GCCCAAGAGAUCGGGAUAACACCUGGAAACAGAUGCUAAUACCGGAUAACAACAGAUGAUGCCUAUCAACUGUUUAAAAGAUGGUUCUGCUAUCACUCUUGGAUUGACCUGCGGUGCAUUAGCUAGUUGGUAGGGUAACGGCCUACCAAGGCGAUGAUGCAUAGCCGAGUUGAGAGACUGAUCGGCCACAUUGGGACUGAGACACGGCCCAAACUCCUACGGGAGGCAGCAGCU
rnacentral:rRNA from 1 species